rnacentral:miRNA from 1 species
UUGUGACCGUUAUAAUGGGCAUG